AGUGAACGCUGGCGGUAUGCCUAAUACAUGCAAGUCGAACGGCAGCACAGUAAGCUCUCGCCCUUGCUGUUGGCGACUGGCGGAUGGGUGAGGCGUACAUCGCCUACUUCUAUUACGGGGGUGAUAUCGGAGGGCCACUGAUACUACCACCGAAUAUUUUCAACGGGAGAAUUCAGAAGAUCUUGGCGGUCUUGCUGUCACUUUUAGCUGAUUCCGCGUUGGAUUAGCUAGUUGGUAAGGUAACGGCUUACCAAGGCAACGAUGCGUAGCUGACCUGAGAGGGUGAUCAGCCACACUGGAACUGAGACACGGUCCAGACUCCUACGGGAGGCAGCAGUAGGGAAUCUUCGGCAAUGGGCGAAAGCCUGAUGCAGCAAUACCGCGUGAGUGAAGAAGGCCUUCGGGUUGUAAAGCCCUUUUGUUGGGGAAGAAAAGCUGCGGAAUUAUACGUGGAUGUUCUGACGGUACCCAAACAAUAAGCACCGGCUAACUUCGUG
rnacentral:rRNA from 1 species